GUGCUCACUUCAGUAGCAUAUAUACUAAAAUUGGAAUGAUACAGAGAAGAUUAGCAUGAUCCCUGCACAAAAAUCACAUGCAAAUUAGUGAAGCAUUACAUAUUUUA
rnacentral:snRNA from 1 species